UACGUAGGGCGCAAGCGUUGUCCGGAUUUAUUGGGCGUAAAGAGCUCGUAGGCGGUCUGUCGCGUCGGAUGUGAAAACCCAGGGCUCAACCCUGGGCCUGCAUUCGAUACGGGCAGACUAGAGUACGGCAGGGGAGACUGGAAUUCCUGGUGUAGCGGUGAAAUGCGCAGAUAUCGGGAAGAACACCCGUGGCGAAGGCGGCUCUCUGGGACGGUACUGACGCUGAGACGCGAAAGCGUGGGGAGCGAACAGG
rnacentral:rRNA from 1 species